GCGGAAGUAGCUCAGCUGGUAGAGCGCAACCUUGCCAAGGUUGAGGUCGCGGGUUCGAAUCUCGUCUUCCGCUCCA
rnacentral:tRNA from 1 species